AUGCAAGUCGAGCGAUGAAACACCUUCGGGUGUGAAUUAGCGGCGAACGGGUGAGGAACACGUGAAGAAUCUGCCUUCAACUCUGGGAUAACUCCGGGAAACCGGGGCUAAUACCGGAUAUGAGCCUUGAUCGCAUGAUCGGGGCUGGAAAGUUUUUCGGUUGAAGAUGACUUCGCGGCCUAUCAGCUUGUUGGUGAGGUAAUGGCUCACCAAGGCGACGACGGGUAGCCGGCCUGAGAGGGCGACCGGCCACACUGGGACUGAGACACGGCCCAGACUCCUACGGGAGGCAGCAGUGGGGAAUAUUGGGCAAUGGAGGAAACUCUGACCCAGCGACGCCGCGUGAGGGAUGAAGGCCUUCGGGUUGUAAACCUCUUUCAGUAGGGAAGAAGCGAAAGUGACGGUACCUACAGAAGAAGCACCGGCUAACUAUGUGCCAGCAGCCGCGGUAAUACAUAGGGUGCAAGCGUUGUCCGGAAUUAUUGGGCGUAAAGAGCUCGUAGGUGGUUCGAUACGUCGGAUGUGAAAAUCAGGGGCUCAACCCCUGACCUGCAUCCGAUACGGUCGAGCUGGAGUUUGGUAGGGGAGACUGGAAUUCCUGGUGUAGCGGUGGAAUGCGCAGAUAUCAGGAGGAACACCGAUGGCGAAGGCAGGUCUCUGGGCCAAUACUGACACUGAGGAGCGAAAGCGUGGGGAGCGAACAGGAUUAGAUACCCUGGUAGUCCACGCCGUAAACGGUGGGCGCUAGUUGUGCGAACCUUCCACGGUUUGUGCGACGCAGCUAACGCAUUAAGCGCCCCGCCUGGGGAGUACGAUCGCAAGAUUAAAACUCAAAGGAAUUGACGGGGCCCCGCACAAGCAGCGGAGCAUGCGGCUUAAUUCGACGCAACGCGAAGAACCUUACCAAGGCUUGACAUAUACAGGAAUACGGCAGAGAUGUCGUAGCCGCAAGGUCUGUAUA
rnacentral:rRNA from 1 species